rnacentral:tRNA from 1 species
GCCCAUGUGGCUCAGUUGGUAGAGCAUGGUGUUUGCAACGCCAGGGUUGUGGGUUUGAUUCCCACGGGGGACC